UCAAAAAGACAAAACAGAAGACAAAAAUAACACAAAGUUAUUUUAAAAAUACAGAGAAGAAAUAAAAUAGCGAAAACAUGAGGUGAUGCAGAACUUUUAUCUAUCAUUAAAAAUAAUGCAAUAAAAUGAAACCAUUCCCCUUAUCAGAUUAGGAGAUGUAAAUCCUGAUAACAUCCAAUGUGGGUAAAGGUGUAGGGGAUCAGGUGCUUUCACACACUGCUGCUGGAAAUGUACAGUCUUUUUUGGAAAGUGUCAAAUUUUCAAAAUGUAUCUAUCCUUAAACUUAGCAAUCGGCAGGGCACGGUGGCUCACGCCUGUAAUCGCAGCACUUUGGGAGACCAAAGCAGAUGAAUCACCUGAGGUCAAGAGUUCAAGACCAGCCUGGCCAACACGAAAGAAGCUCUCACAGUGGAAGACUAUAAUAUGACAUAAGAAGAAAUGUGGACUUGGAGAUACAGAAGAGACAGGGUCUCGCUCUGUUACCCAGGCUGGAGUGUAGUGGCACGAUCUAAGGUCACUGCAACCUCCGCCUCUGGGGUUCAAGCCUCCCACCUCAGCCUACCAAGCAACUGGGACUACAG
rnacentral:lncRNA from 1 species